rfam:Drosophila ananassae strain TSC#14024-0371.13 Ctg01_9263, whole genome shotgun sequence.
UUAAACAAGAUCGGAGAGAUCCGAGACAUACACCUGUCCCUAUCUACUAUCUAGCGAAACCACAGCCAAGGGAACGGGCUUGGAAUAAUUAGCGGGGAAAGAAGACCCUUUUGAGCUUGACUCUAAUCUGGCAGUGUAAGGAGACAUAAGAGGUGUAGAAUAAGUGGGAGAUAUUAGACUUCGGUUUGGUAUCGCCAAUGAAAUACCACUACUCUUAUUGUUUCCUUACUUACUUGAUUAAAUGGAACGUGUAUCAUUUCCUAGCCAUUAUACGGAUAUAUUUAUUAUAUCUUAUGGUAUUGGGUUUUGAUGCAAGCUUCUUGAUCAAAGUAUCACGAGUUUGUUAUAUAAUCGCAAACAAAUUCUUUAAUGAGAGAUGCAUUUACUGUAUUAUUGAUUUGAAAAUUUGGUAUAACUCCAAUUACUCAGGUAUGAUCCAAUUCAAGGACAUUGCCAGGUAGGGAGUUUGACUGGGGCGGUACAUCUCUCAAAUAAUAACGGAGGUGUCCCAAGGCCAGCUCAGUGCGGACAGAAACCACACAUAGAGCAAAAGGGCAAAUGCUGACUUGAUCUCGGUGUUCAGUACACACAGGGACAGCAAAAGCUCGGCCUAUCGAUCCUUUUGGUUUAAAGAG